GCACCAAGACUCAAUAACGAACACUCAACCCUUGCACUAAUCAAGCCCAGGAACGGCAGAAAAUAGACUGUCCUCGCUUCUCCUCCUGCUAUUUGACUCUCCGCUCAUUACCCUCAGAGCCUUCCUUAAGAAGUUUCAAGUCUCUCUUCUGACUUUCCUGGACAGAGAAACCUCAUUGUAACCAAACCAAAAUGCAAAGCCCUAAUGGCUUGAAGGUGGGGCAAGAAGGGUGAUUCUAUCGGUAGUAAACCUAACUCAGGGGCCCUUUAAGAGUGUCCAGAAGGUACAAAAAGAAGCGCCAAUGCCUCCCGGGCCUGGGGUACUGACGUCAGGGACAGCUGACACCAGUCAUUCACUUGGUCCAGAAGGCGCCUGGAACGAGGCAUCCUUUCCGGACCCGCAUCCUCGCUUUUUCCUCCAGUGUCGCCAGAGGGCGCAGUAUGAUGCUGGUGCACAGCGCGUGCGCAACAGGCGCAAGGGUUUCUGUAGGCAGCAGAGGAAGACAUGAAAACUGCGGCGGCGGCUGGGGAGGUCAGCGUUGACCGGCGGCCGAAGCUGGCACUGUGCGUUCUCUGCGGCUUGCCGGCGGCCGGAAAGUCGACCUUCGCGCGUGCGCUGGCCCUCCGGCUGCGGCAGGAGAGGGGCUGGGUCGUGGGCGUCCUCUCCUACGACGAUGUGCUGCCCCCCGCGCUCCCGGAUGACGCUAGCACACUACCUCGGCCAUCCCAGUGGAAAAUGUUUCGACAAGAACUGUUAAAGCACCUGGAAUGUUUCCUCGUCGCGAUCAUUAGUGGCGGUCAGAUGUCUGCCCCACCCAACAGGACUGAAACCAUGUGGGAAGAUUUUAUAACUUGCUUAAAAAAACAGGAUUUGAUCUUUUCUGCAGCGCAUGAGGCUCAGCCUUGCCACCUCUUGGCAAAAACGGCUGUUUCUAGACGUUUGUUUUUGGUGUUAGAUGACAACUUUUAUUACCAAAGUAUGAGAUAUGAAGUCUACCAACUGGCUCGGAAAUAUUCACUGGGCUUUUGCCAGCUCUUUUUAGAUUGUCCCCUGGAAACAUGUUUGCUGAGGAAUGGCCAGAGACCCCAGCCACUACCUAAUGAGACCAUCCGCCUCAUGGAGAGCAAGAUAGAAAAGCCCAACGGUGAGAAAAAUGCCUGGGAACACAACAGUCUCGUAAUUCAGAGUUCAUCAUGUUCCUCGGAGGCCAGCCUGGAGGUGACUGAUUUGUUGCUUACUGCUUUGGAAAAUCCCAUAAAAUGUGUUGAGGACAAUACGGAACAAAAGGAAACAGACAGAAUUAUUUGUUCUACUAACAUCCUCCAUAAAGCUGAUGAAACACUCCGCAGAACCAUCUCUCAGACAAUGAAGGAAGCCAAAGAUUUUUCCUUAGAUACCAGAAAAUCAAUAGGAAGCAGAUUAUUUUAGUGAGAAGACAGACAAAAGGUAACUAAUUAUAUGAAUAUAUGUCAGUCCCCUAAAGUAAAUUUAUUUUUAAGAGUAAUUAGGGUGCUGGAGAGAUGGCUUAAAGGUACUCCAGGGUCAGGGGUCAGACAAGCAUGGAAUUUGAACAAGGUCACUUAUUAUAAAUAGGAAUAGUAUUUAAAAAUAGUUUCAGAUAUGUGGUAAGUAUAGCUUUUCAAUAAUUGCUUUAAGUUUUAAAUUUUUAACUCCACAUUAUGUUUAAAAUUUGUUUUAAAAAGAAAAGAGCAGCUAACAUUUAACUCCUUUGAUAUGCUACUCUUUACAAUCAUGUAAGGUUGGUGUAAUUUUAUAAAUGAGAAAAAAAAAUGGAGAUUCACAGUGAAUCAAGUAACUUUCCCAAGGCUGAAGAAGCUGCUAAAUUUGAGGGCAACCUGAGAUGAGGUUAAUUCUGAUUCCAGUCUGUUGUUAUAUGCCCCGCCUUUACUGUUAACUUCAUAACAGCUGAGGACACUGAAAAGGACGGAAUGUUAACCAUACCAACAGUGUGUGAUAUAGUAUGUAAACUGAGGCACAUGUGGAAACAAGUUUCACAAACAUAUCCUCAUACUUAAUGGAAUGUUUUAUUUUCUCAUUUUAGAAUACCAUUGCCACUCAUUAAUGAAUUACAAUCCAAAACUUCUAACAGGAUUGGAACAGAAAUGGCAGCAUAAUUAGAACAAAGCAGAAACCAUUAUUUUUUUCUCAGCCAUUUGCCUCUUGUUCUGUUCUAUGCCCAAAUCACUUACCAUUCCCACCCACUGGGAAAAUGCAGACUCUUCUGGAGAGGAGAGAAGUGGGUACUAGUUUCUAAUUGUGUGCUUGAAUAAAACUAAAAAUUUAAUUUCUCUGCCAUCAAGAAAGUGAGAUGACAGCCCACAUAUGGGAUACAACACUUGCAAAUAUUUCAUGAGAAACUUGAAUAUAUAAAUAUAAAUAUAUAGAGAACUCUUUACUGUACAUUAACACACAAGUAACCCAAUCUUAAAAUGGACAAAUAUCUAAAUAGACAUCUUUUUCCCAAGGGAGAUACAGAGAGGAUCAACAUUCAAAUGAAGACAUGUUAAAAUUUAAUGAAAAGCAAAAUACAGAUCAAAACCAUAGGAUAUACCACUCCACAGCCAUUAGAAUGGCCAAAAUGAGACGGUCCAAGAUUUGUUGAAGAUGUGGACAAAUCAGAGCCCUCACAUCCUACUGGUGGAAAUACAGAAUGAUGCACAGCUGCUUUGGAAACAGCCAGGCAGUUCUUCUAAUGUUUGUUACCACGUGGCCCAGCUAUUCUGCUCCAUAGUGAUAGGUUUGAGAGAGAUGAAAACUUAAUGUUGAUACAAUGCCUGUUUAUAGCAGAACUAUUCAUAACAGCCAAAAGGUAGAAACAACCCAGCUGCCCAUCACCUUAUAAAUGGAGAAAUACAAUGAGGUCACUCAUACGAGAAUGUUGUGUGGCUACAAAAAGAACUAGAAUACUGGCCAGGAGAGAACAUGGGGAACCUUGAGAACAUCCCAACUGGAAGAGGUCAUAUGAACAUCCAGAGCUGGAAAUCACAGCAGAAGGAUUAGCGGUAGAUUAGGAAGGGCAACUGUCAGGGGAUACAGCUUGCUUUUCAGCUGUGAAAGUGUUGGAAAAGUAACUAUGCUGGUGAUUGCACAUAUGUGAGUAUUCUUAAAAAAAAACAUUACUUUUUUUGAGACAGGGUACCUCAGGCUGUUGUGGAACUCACUGUGGACCAGGCUGGCCCGAACUCACAGCUCUACCUGCCUCUGCCUCCCCAGUGCUGGGAUUAAAAGAGUGUGCCACUAUGCAAGCUAAACCAUCACAUUUUACACUGACACAAUUAUGAUGAGAAAAUACCUCUUGAUAACUUGAAGCGUCUAGCAGAAGACCUUAACAAGCUCAAAGCAGAUUUUUUGGAAGAUCUACGACAAGGAAACAGGAAAUAUCUGUGCUUUCAGCAAACCACCAACUUAUCAGAUAUUAUUUCUUCUUUUUGUGAUGAGAGAGAUACUGUUGUGCAGAAGUAUUUUU